CCCAUGGGGCUCAGUUCUUAAAC
rnacentral:miRNA from 1 species